rnacentral:sRNA from 1 species
UUGACAGCUUUGGAAACUGAAGGGCUCUAAUUAUCCACAGAACAGAUACAGUAUGGCCAGUGGCAGUAAAAAAUCACUUCAUACUCCCUGCCAUUGUGCCCCAGAUGGGUUUCUUAGGAGCCUCAUGGGAUAAAAAGGUUUUAAGACUCCUUUUUCAGUCUUAUGCUAAG